UACGUAGGGUGCAAGCGUUAAUCGGAAUUACUGGGCGUAAAGCGUGCGCAGGCGGUGAUGUAAGACAGAUGUGAAAUCCCCCGGGCUCAACCCUGGGAACUGCAGUCGAAACUGCAAAGCUUGAAUGUUGGAGAGGUUGGGGGAAUACCUAGUGGAGAAGUGAAAUCGUAGAGAUUAGGUGGAACACCAGAGGCGAAGGCGCCUGACUGGCCAAACAUUGACGCUAAGGCGCGAAAGCGUGGGUAGCAAACAGG
rnacentral:rRNA from 1 species